AAUGAUCUUAUUUUAAGCUACUAGAUGAAUAGCUUGGUUUGGAUUGUGAUGAAGGACGUGGCAAGCUGCGAUAAGCUUGGGGUAGGCGCAUGCGGCCUUUGAACCCAAGAUUUCCGAAUGCGAUUAUACGCGUUUCUAUGAAAAAUCCUGAGAAGGAGAUUUACGCUGGGAAUUGAAACAUCUUAGUACCGGCAGGAAAAGAAAGAAAUUCGAUUCCCUUACUAGCAGCGAGCGAAAAGGGAACAGGGCAAACCGAAUCUUCUCUUGAAAGAGAGACAGAGAUGUGGUGAAGAUUAAGCCUAAGGAGUUGAGAAGAAGUCCCCUGGAACGGGGCACUUUAAAGGGUGAUAGUCCCGUACUCGAAAGCUCUAUGGUAUACUUCAAAAGAGUAGGGCUUCUUAGAUAGGAGGUCUGAAUAUGGGAGGAUUAACUCCCAACCCUAAACAUAAAUCCAAGUCCGAUAGUGAACUCAGUACCGCGAGGGAAAGCUGAAAAGUACCCUUAAUAGGGGGUUAAAAGACUUGAAAUCUAGUAGUUACAAUUGGUUACGGCAUUACGGUGUUGUAACGUACGUUUUGAAAAAUGGGCCACGGAGUGUAUUUAUGUGGCAAGGUUAAACUUGAAGCCGAAGCGAAAGCAAGUCUGAAAAGGCGAUAGUCACCUAGAUACGACACGAAACCAGACGAUCUAUUCCUGAGCAGGUUGAAGUUUUUCGAAAGGAGAAUGGAGGACCGAACCGGUGUUAUGUGCAUGUACUCGGAUGACUUGGGAAUAGGGGUGAAAAGCCAAUCUAGUUUGGCGAUGGCUGGUUCCUGUCGAAAUAUGCCGAAGUAUAGUCUUAUUGUGCUUGAGAACGAGGUAAAGUACGGAUAAGGUUCGCAGGUCCGCAAGGAUACGGAACCCUUUCCAACUCAGAACUUGUUCUCUGUAUACAAUAGGAAUGGGGGACGGUGCGUAAGGUGCUGUUUCCGAGACCCGAACAAGGGAGACUGAAGUUAAGGUCCCAAAAUUUAUGCUAAGUGUAACAAACUUGGUUUGAAACCAGAGACACUAGGGAUGUAGGCCCAGAAGCAGCCAUCAUUCAAAGAAAGCGUAACAGCUCACCUAUCGAGGUUUUAAGCGGGGAAAAUGGACGGGGCUAAGCAUACUACCGAUACUUCAGAGGCACUCGACAAUAUUAUGUCUUUUGGUUUUUUGAUAUUUAUUAACUGGAAGGGCUUCGGCUCUUCUGGUUUAAUUUUAUAUUCAAGAAACUGAAAAUAGAAAAGAUCAGAACACGAAAUAAUUAGUAACCGAAGAGUAAUAACAAAACCGAAAGGUUUUUAUAGGAAAAAAUAGCUGGAAGGUUAUGACAACAACAUUUAAUUAUAUGGAUGGAGACAAUAGAAAAAGGAAACAGAUAGAGGUAGGUGAAACCUUAGAAGCAUUUAGUUCUGGAGAUGUACUUCUUUUAACUAGAGAGUUUGAAGGACUUGAAGGCACCCCAAGAUCUGAAAGACCGAGACCAGGUCGCUAUCGUAUCGAGGAAAAACAAAUAGAAACUACUCCUCCUAGGGAUGGUGCUGUCAGCCAAAUUCACAUCACAUAUCA
rnacentral:rRNA from 1 species